AAAAUAUUCUGAUUUCAUCUUUGACCAUUUCAAUUUUCAUUUUAUCCAUCUCUAGCCUUUCCCUCAUUUCAAGUUCUGCCUGUUUUAAUGUAAGUUCAUCUUAUUUUUCCUUUGAUUUCUCCAUUUCUAGCCUUUCUUUCAUCUCCGGUUCUUUUGAUUUAAAUUCAUUUUAUUUUUCUUUUUUAUCCAUUUCUAAUCUUUCCUUCAUUUCAAGUUUUUUUUUAUUUUCUCCGUUUCUUUCAUUUCCAGUUCUUUUUAUUUAAGUUUAUGUUUAAAGUCAAGUUGUUUUAAUGUAAAGGCGACAACAUUUUCGACACUUAAGGUCAAGAGCCUCUUCACCUAAAAUUUCUGCCUCAAUCAAUUUGUCCAGUGCAAUUUUUUUUAUAAUUUGUUUUCUCAUAAUACUUUAGAAUCUAAUUUCAGAUGUUAAGCAAGCAACAGUAAUUACUCUUUCUUUAAAUUAUCAAAACUCUCCAGGUCUGGCGUUUUUAAAAAUUUACCGGCAUCAAAUGCCAUUUUGUAGAAUUUUGUUGGCUAGUUAUGAUAAAAAUACUGAAAAUUUUUUAAUAAGACAUUUACGUUAAUCCAGGAGGAACCCCCAAUUUUUGUUACGGUCAGAAAUCAACUUUCAAUUGUAGCCAACAAAAGACACAAAUCGAUAAUGAAAUUUAACAAGAUUUGUUAUACAAAAGUUUACAAAAAGUAUUACACAAAUAUUACUGGCAACUUCAAUAAUAUACAAAACACGUACACAUUUCACCUGACAAUCUUCUUUUUGUCACAUGCUAUUACAAUCUGAAGC
rnacentral:lncRNA from 1 species